rnacentral:rRNA from 1 species
GACGAACCGUGCGAACGUUGUUCGGAAUCACUGGGCUUAAAGGGCGCGUAGGCGGGUUCGCAAGUCUGUGGUGAAAGCCUCCAGCUUAACUGGAGAAGUGCCAUGGAUACUGCGCAUCUUGAGGAGGGUAGGGGCGUCUGGAACGGUCGGUGGAGCGGUGAAAUGCGUUGAUAUCUACAGGAACUCCGGUGGCGAAAGCGGCGUGCUGGACCUUUUCUGACGCUGAGGCGCGAAAGCUAGGGGAGCAAACGGG